GCCCAGAUGGUCAAAUUGGUAGACACGCCAGCUUCACGUGCUGGUGACCGUAUGGUCGUGGAAGUUCCAGUCUUCUUCUGGGCACCA
rnacentral:tRNA from 1 species